rnacentral:rRNA from 1 species
GGACCAGACUCCUACGGGAGGCAGCAGUGGGGAAUAUUGCACAAUGGGGGGAACCCUGAUGCAGCGACGCCGCGUGGGUGAAGGAGCACCUCGGUGCGUAAAGCCCUAUCGGCAGGGAAGAAAAUGACGGUACCUGAAGAAGAAGCCCCGGCUAACUACGUGCCAGCAGCCGCGGGAAUACGUAGGGGGCAAGCGUUAUCCGGAUUUACUGGGUGUAAAGGGGGCGCAGACGGCGAUGCAAGCCAGGAGUGAAAGCCCGGGGCCCAACCCCGGGACUGCUCUUGGAACUGCGUGGCUAGAGUGCAGGAGGGGCAGGCGGAAUUCCUGGUGUAGCGGUGAAAUGCGUAGAUAUUAGGAGGAACACCAGUGGCGAAGGCGGUCAACUGGACAGCAACUGACGCUGAGGCGCGAACGCGUGGGGAGCAAACAGGAUUAGAUACCCGAGUAA